UCUGUAAGCCUGUGAAGGUGGCCUGUGAGGGUUGCUGGAGGUAUCAGAAGUGCGAAUGCUGACAUAAGUAACGAUAAAGCGGGUGAAAAGCCCGCUCGCCGGAAGACCAAGGGUUCCUGUCCAACGUUAAUCGGGGCAGGGUGAGUCGACCCCUAAGGCGAGGCCGAAAGGCGUAGUCGAUGGGAAACGGGUUAAUAUUCCCGUACUUGGUGUUACUGCGAAGGGGGGACGGAGAAGGCUAUGUUGGCCGGGCGACGGUUGUCCCGGUUUAAGCGUGUAGGCUGGUUUUC
rnacentral:rRNA from 1 species